rnacentral:rRNA from 1 species
GAUGAACGCUAGCGGCAGGCUUAAUACAUGCAAGUCGAGGGGCAACAGGGGUAGCAAUACCUGCUGGCGACCGGCAAACGGGUGCGGAACACGUACAGAACCUUCCUUUAAGCGGGGGAUAGCCCAUAGAAAUGUGGAUUAAUACCCCAUAGUAAUAUUAGUUGGCAUCAAUUGAUAUUUAAAGAUUUAUCACUUAAAGAUGGCUGUGCGGCUGAUUAGGUAGUUGGUGCGGGAACGGCCCACCAAGCCAGCGAUCAGUAACUGGUGUGAGAGCACGACCAGUCACACGGGCACUGAGACACGGGCCCGACUCCGUACGGGAGGCAGCAGUAAGGAAUAUUGGUCAAUGGACGCAAGUCU